rnacentral:rRNA from 1 species
AUUGAACGCUGGCGGCAGGCCUAACACAUGCAAGUCGAGCGGAAGGUUCUUCGGAACCGAGAGCGGCGGACGGGUGAGGAAAGCGUGGGAAUCUGCCUGUAGAUGGGGGAUAGCCCGGAGAAAUCCGGAUUAAUACCGCAUAAUACCUGAGGGCUAAAGUGGAGGAUCGCAAGACUUCACGUCUACAGAUGAGCCCCACGUCAGAUUAGCCUAGUUGGUAGGUAAAGGCCUACCAAGGCGACGAUCUGUAGCUGGCCUGAGAGGUGGCCAGCACACUGGAACUGAGACACGGUCCAGACUCCUACGGAGGCAGCAGUGGGGAAUAUUGGACAAUGGGCGCAAGCCUGAUCCAGCCAUGCCGCGUGUGUGAAGAAGGCCUGGUGUAAG